GAGACUGUAGUUACAAAUUUGGCCAGCAUCGUUAGAUCUGCAUAGUCAUGCCGAUUCAGCUGAUCUCAUCAAUAUACUGGACGUUAUUGCGCAGCAUCUAUUUGCUGUAUUUUCUAAACAUUUCUCGAGAAAUGUUAUUUUUAAUAUCAUUCUCACCUAAGUGAAUUUGCAUAAACUUAAAGGCAAGUCUACUGGAAAAUGGACUGUCUUUACGUAUUAGAAGCUCUUCAUACAUAUACACCUCCACUCAUUUAUUUCAAAUUUUAUUCUUCUUGCUCGUUUUGCUUUUAACUGAACGUCGUUUCGUUGGUUGCAUAACGGGUGACCUUCACGUAGCGCUACGGGAUGUUUGAACGCAGUUCGCACAUAUACUUUUGUAAGGGUUUCGGUCGUUUCCGCACAUUGAUGGACUCUGCGGAAAAGAGCGAGCUUCGCACGUUCAUGUACGGGUCUCUUUAAAGAAUUAGAUUCGCUUUAACGCACUCUCAUUACAAAGUCAUAAUUCACUUUUUUUUGGUUUAAACUCUAUACAUUACUUCUCAUUUGGCAUCAGGAAAAGGAAAGAAAAAAAUGUCCUUGCCAAGUCGAAACAGGAAAUAGCCGGAACGAUGACUGGACAAAUGUCGGAACACCUUAUAGACGGAACAUCCUUAUUUCAUUGUUACCAAACAAUAUUUCCAAGGCGAAAUUUUAUUCUUCAACCCGCACGUGUUUAAGUUCUUGGUCGCUUUUGACAUAUAAUGCGGAAGAAAAAAAAAUAAUUUUUACUUAUCUUUAUCCGAAGGUCAUGUCCGUCCCUCAUUUGCAAAUUACUUGACAGCACUUCUCGUGAUAUUGUCAUCGUGCAAAAUAACGCGAGUUUUGAAUUGAGAUGAGUAAAAUCUAACAUAAUAUAUAAGAGUUACAUAACCAAUAGAAUUUCCAAUGUUAUUUUUUGCGUUCUUCCGCAUUUAGCGAUGCGCAGAAAAGCAUCAAACAUGUAAAUCAACAUGUUGUUCCAUGCGCCCAUAUAAGCGUGUUAUUUGUGGGGCGUGUCAUUUUUGCGGUGCCAGCCUGUACCAACUGUACAUCCCCUCCCCUGGCUUUGUAAUUUGAGAAUAAUAUGCUCAUCCGUAUAGCCGUUAAAAAAAAAAAAAAAAACAUCUUUAAAAUUUGCAAUUCCCGCCGGGAACGGGAAAAUCCCUUUUGACAAGGUGACUGGGGAACACAACAUUAUUCUAAUCCGAUGUUCAAGGUUGGUGCGAGUUAUUCAACCUUGUCGUCGAGGGUGUUUUCCAUCGCACCUUUUACGCGCUUCCUGAAAGGAACUGAGAAAGAGCCUUUCCUGCGUCGAAUUCGUCGCUUUUGAAAACCAUUAACGAUAUGCGGAAAUAUUCACGCUAUAUAUUCAACGAGCUUUUCUUAUAGUCACCAACUGCCAUUGUGUAUAGAUGUACAUUGCGCAAUCCGCAUAAAGGAAUAAACGUGCCAUUUCAAAAGG